ensembl:lncRNA
AGCCUCUCGAAGAAUCAUGAAGAUGGUCAAGCUACAGGAAUGUGCAGCCUGGUAUCACAGAUUAAACACAUCGUAUAAGUGCUAAUGUAGCUAGAUAAUUAUUUUAGACUUGAACCAUUUUUUGAUCAGGACAUAUAAUUUUAUGAAAUUUUAUCCUAAAUUCCAUUGGUUCUAUAUUUAUCCUAUUUAAAUCAUAGGGUUACAGUAUGAUGAUCAUAGAAUAAUAACAGCAAUAAAAAGUCAACUUCCAGGCAGAUAAUUAAUGUAAACACUAUGAAGUAUAUUAAUAUAAUACAAAUAAACACUUCUUAAAAUACCCUUUUACGUCCUGUCCAUUUCCCAUAUUCCAUUGUCCACCUCCAUAUCUAUGCCUCCAAAAGUCUCCAUAAAUGACUCCCUGAAACCUAUUCCAUGUGCCUCUCAUCUUUUUCCCCUCACUGCUGUUCCUCUUCACAAGUUAAAUUUUUCAUCAUUUUCCAUUAUGGAAAAAAGAACCAAUCUGGCAACUGACAAAAUCUUCUUUUGAAUGUUCCAAUCUCCCCUUCUUUCCAACUUGGAUAUAUGAGUGGGAUCUAAACUAAGAAGUGGGGUGUAGUAGUCACUAUUUAGAAAUACAGGAGACAGGGUUAUGAGAAAGGAAGAGUGGUAAGCACACUGUGUCCCUUCUCACUUCUGAGAUUAAGCUCUGUGAAUGAACAAAACAAAAUAUAUGCAAUUAGAUAGAACUACAAAGGGAGGCAGAAAGACUCCCAAGCAGGGUCCUCACUGGUGCGCGGCGAGAGGAAGAGACGGUGGUGUAACUGACUGAGCCACUCAGGCAUCCCCCAUAUUUAUAAUUUUAAAUUUUGUAAUUUUAGUCUUAUUUUCUCCUUUUAAGUGUCUUAGUUUGGACAAUAUAUUAUGUGGUUACCAUAAUUAAUAACCUGGCAUGUUUAGGAGAUGUGAGAUACACAGUGGACUUGUAGCUCGCUUUGCGGUUGCAGGCAAUCUCAAAGUUCCCUCGUGGCCAAGCCGGAUCAAGAUGUAAUCUUCUCGAAAGAUUGCUGUGACAGGCAAGUUAAAUCCUCCAAGAGAGACUGCAUUACGUUGAAGAGCGGGAACACUCAACUCCCAAAGCCGUUCCCUCUACUAUGGAGGGAUUCAGAACAACACGCCUACGGAUGUGUUUUUUGCUUCUUCCGGUGGUCUGAUUGGUCAAUUUCGAAAGAGAGCGUUGGCGUUGUGACCCGCCUCUUGCUUUCCUCUUGGGGCGGAGCUGCCCACAGGAAAUGCGCCCUUAGCUCCGCCCCUCCAGGCUGUGAGGUGGCCGCGCACGGCUCUGCCUCGGCGCCAUCGUCGCCAUCGUCGGUUGGGCCCUGUCUGUGGCAUCGUUGGAGUCUGAAUCUUGAACUUCCUGAGAAGAGCUCCUGGGCUUCAGCGUUCUUACCAGUCCAUCCACUGGCAGGGAUGCCAGUGUCGUUUCUCUUUGUGACUGGGGCAUAAUAAGACUUACUGGAAGCCACUGCACAGUAUUUUGAAAUUGGAUAUAUCUGAAUGCCAGCAAGUGGAAGGAGAGCAAAAGACAUGCCA